GCCGCUAUAGCUCAGUUGGUAGAGCAACGCACUUGUAAUGCGUAGGUCCGGAGUUCGAAUCCUCGUGGCGGCACCA
rnacentral:tRNA from 2 species